UAGGGAAUCUUCCACAAUGGGCGAAAGUCUGACCGAGCAACGCCGCGUGAGUGAAGAAGGUUUUCGGAUCGUAAAACUCUGUUGGUAGAGAAGAACGUUGGUGAGAGUGGAAAGCUCAUCAAGUGACGGUAACUACCCAGAAAGGGACGGCUAACUACGUGCUAG
rnacentral:rRNA from 1 species